AGGUUCAUAAGUCAAUUGGUAGACGCUUAGAUUCCAAAUCUAAGUAUCUGGGUUCAAGUCCUAGUGAGCCUG
rnacentral:tRNA from 1 species